AUGAACGCUGGCGGCGUGCUUAACACAUGCAAGUCGAACGGAAAGGCCCAAGCUUGCUUGGGUACUCGAGUGGCGAACGGGUGAGUAACACGUGGGUGAUCUGCCCUGCACUUCGGGAUAAGCCUGGGAAACUGGGUCUAAUACCGGAUAGGACCACAUUUUGGCUGGUGUGGUGGAAAGUUUUUCGGUGUGGGAUGAGCUCGCGGCCUAUCAGCUUGUUGGUGGGGUAAUGGCCUACCAAGGCGUCGACGGGUAGCCGGCCUGGGAGGGUGUACGGCCACAUUGGGACUGAGAUACGGCCCAGACUCCUACGGGAGGCAGCAGUGGGGAAUAUUGCACAAUGGGCGCAAGCCUGAUGCAGCGACGCCGCGUGGGGGAUGACGGCCUUCGGGUUGUAAACUCCUUUCGCUAGGGACGAAGCGUUAUGUGACGGUACCUGGAGAAGAAGCACCGGCUAACUACGUG
rnacentral:rRNA from 1 species